AAUAGAACUUUUAUUAUUUAAUUAUAACAAGAAAAAAAAAAUUUGUAUUGUGUAUUAAAUUUUUUUCUUUGUUUCGUUUUUCAAAAAUGGCAAAAGGAAAUGAGCGUGAAUGUGGCUGACGAAUGGCAAUUGUUUAAGUUUUAGAAUAAAUGAAUACAAUGUGAUUAGAGUAAAAAUAAAAAAAUACGUAUGUAGACAAAUAAAAAAUCCAUACGCGCGUUUAUUGAAAUUUCAUUAUUUUAAUUUAUUUAUUUCAAAUUUAUAAAUUGUGUCAUGUCUGUUACACUCACCCUCAUCAAAAGUAAAAUUAUCAUGAGUAAAAUAUAUGAAAAAGACAAAUUGGACACUUGGGAAAUAUAGUGUACUAUGAUGUAAUUAUUAUUUUAAAAACUGCAUUUAUUAAUUUUCAAAAUAAAAUUUUUAAACAUAGAAAAGUCCGCAAUUCGAGUUAUGACCAUUUAAAAAACAAAAAAGAGGAAACACAGAAUCAGAAGAUAUAAUGGUAACUCUCCUCUGAGAAAAAUUCAAUUAAAAGCAGAAAGCUGCAUUUUUGAUGGGUUACUAUUCCCGUACGACCUCAAAUGUCAGUUUAAUCAACAAAGAUUAGGCAACAAAAAUUUAAUUUUAUUGAAUUGAUAGAAACAACCAUCUAGCGAGUACUGUUGUCUUAUAUAAGUAUAGAUAUUUGGAAAAAUUUGAUCAUGAUGAAAACACGAUAAUAAGGAAAAAAGCCGUAGUAAUGGUAGGUGAUGAAGAAUUUCCAUACGAAGUUUCAGUUGUACGGAAUGAUUUUGAUAUGUGGCAUUACGUAGAACUUAUAUAUCAAGACUCACUGGUAUUUUAUUCACUAUAAAUAAAGUUCAGCUACUAGGUUUCAAUGUAUUGUCGAUAUGAGAGCCACCAAGAAUAUAAAUGUUCGAACGACGAACGUUGAAAUAAUAUUUAUCUGAAUUCAAAAAAAAAUUCGACGCUUGUGUUUGUUUUUAAAUUUUAAUAAGAAAGGGUAUACAAAAUAAAUAACUCUUUUUAUGUGUAU